rnacentral:lncRNA from 1 species
GGUCAACGUGAGGAAGAAUGUUCAAAAGACAGAAAGGCGCUGGGAAAAGGGGUGGAGGGAAUAUUAUCUAUAUAUACUUUCUGUCUUGUUGGCAUAUGUUGGCAGAAGUGAGUUCAUUGACUAGGUAUUCUCCUUUCCAUGCCCUUAUACAGUAAUAACGUUAAUAAUGUUGCAGUUACAGAAAACCAUGUACCUUGUGAUUGGAUGUAGCUGUUGUAAUUAUUCUUUAAAAUGUUAAUCAAAUACAUAAUUCAACUCAUUUCAUGACUCUGUUACAAAAGCAGACAGUCCGGGACAGUAACCAUAAAAAGGUAAUGAUAAAAAUAAUUCAUUUAUUUUAAUUUUUAUGUUUCAAUUACUGAUUGAGGCUCAAAUAAGAACACAAAGUAAUAGAACUUAGUUAUUGAAAGAGAGCUAUCGCCAUGUUAAUGCUCCAAUCCAUUUUUGGAGAAUGGCAAUGACAUUUUAAUACAGAAAGUAACUAAAAAGACAUUAGCAGAAAAAGCACUGAUUCAAUACCAGGAGUUUUACUCAAAAUCAUUCCUAAUUAACCUCUGUAGAGUCAAUUUCAAUGAUCUGCUACAAGAGUUUGGUAUCAUUUUAUUGGAAUAUUUCAUUUAUAGGAGUGAUCCUGAGAGUCAUGUCUGUCAUACGUAUAAAUGGCAUCAAGUUCCAUUUUAUAUUUUUUAGUUGUGUGCUAGGUGUGGCAUGCGUGCCAUAGGUUCGCCAUCACUGGCCUAGGAGAUAAUGAAAAUCGAUACUGGAAUCAGUGUUUUUAGUAUUAAAGGAAGUUUCCUAGUAUUUAAGAUACUUUAUUUGAAAGACAUGCCCUACAUUAUAUGCUAGUAAAGUGUACUAACAUUUAAUACAUCUUGAUUUUUUUUGUACUUUAACAAUGCCCAUUACAAAGAGGAAAAGCAAACUAUCAAACUACAUCUGAGAAUACUAUGGAAAAAACAGCAGUACUCUGUUUUUAUUGCCUCCCCCCCCCUCAGGUGGUUUUGCCUUCUCUAUAAUUCCAUAUUAUUUUGUUAAAUGUUGUAUAUAAAUUGCACAAAUGAAAUUAUAGUGAAAGGAAUCUAGUUUUAAUGUUUUUAAAUUUACUUCAUUUCAUUCAGCAUCUGCUAGGCAGAUGAAGUUAACUCUCAUGUAGUAGUAGUAGAAGUAGAAGUAGUAGUAGUAGUAGUAGUAGUAGUAGUAGUAGUAGUAGUAGUAGUAGUAGUAGUAGUAGUAGUAGUAGUAGUAGUAGUAGUAGUAGUAGUAGUAGUAGUAGUAGUAGUAGUAGUAG